rnacentral:rRNA from 1 species
AUGUCGCCGUCACAUGACGCCCCGCCUCUGCUACAAGACUGGUUGGAUGCAUCACUUAAUGAUGCUGCACCAUCUUCUCUUCUCAUACUUUCAAGAGCUUUUACCCUGGCUGGGAGAAUGAAACCCGUGGAUGCUGUUGUAGCAACAGUGUCUUCUUUGCCAGAUGAAGUUGUGGAUACAAUUGGGACAGUAUUGCCAUCUGAAGAUUCGGUUUCUGAGAGGAGGAGAAAACUGAAAUUCCUUGAGAUGCAGGAAGAACUUAUCAAGGAGGAAGAGAAGAAGAAAGAGAAAGAGGAGAAGGCAAAACAAAAGAAGGAAGAAAAGGCAAAUCUCACAGAACAGGAGGCUGGUGAAGAAGAUUUGGCUUUAAAGGAAAUGACUGGGCCUACUGCUAGGCAAGAAGAAGAAAUAAUAUUAGCAAAACAACAUGACCAGGAGCAGCUCUGUAAUAUCAGUCGAACAUUGGCUGUGCUGGCAUCUGCAUCGUCUGUUAGCAAGGAGCGUCAAGAGUUCCUGAGCCUUGUCAACAAGGAGAAAAGGAGAUUGAUGAUAUGGAUGCACAAUUUGGAAACGGCUGGCAACUGCUUUGAUAGGGUCAGCCUAGUGAAGGAUGAUGUUAGCAUACCUCAACCGUGGGAUCACUUGCUGAUGCUGAGGUGUGGAUGCAGAUCUACUUCGACCUCGGGGAGAUGGCCGCCGUCGUGCGUGGUCCUCGGGCAGGGCGUGGCGGCCCUGGCCGCGCCCAGGGGGGGGCGGAGGGGCAGAGCUGAGGAGCAGGAGGCCAUCCCGCAGGUCCAGGAUCGGGUCGCUCCCCUCCAUCAUCAGUGGUCUUUAUGGCGCGACGGGAACCAGAACACCAUCAAGCUGGUCGACAGCGAUGAAUUGAAGGCUUACCGCAUACUUGAGCAGUCAGCGUACAUUGAUAGACUGGAACUUGACAGCUUUGCUAUACCUGAUGGACUGCUUGUGCAGCCAGCUCAUAUCGUCAGGAUGCUCUAUGAUCUCGUUGACUACUACAACAAUAUGAUGACGAUCCGUCGAAAGUACCUCAUGAAGAAGCUUGAUGGGUGUUGGUCUAAGGAGAUGGACCAGAUGCUCAAGACACAUGACAGGUAUCUGGAAAGAGUCAAUGAGAAGCUAGACGCCAUUGCAGAUGCAAGAGGCGAUUGCCCACCCCGGCCAAAGGUCUUCGAUGCCCACCCCAAACUCUGCAAGUGA